GUUUCAGAUUGGGUAAAAUGGUGGGUCAAACGUCCAUUUUACGGCCGUAUUGUUGGGUCUUUAGUCGAUUGUCGGGUCCCAAAGUCGAUUAUCGGGCACUUGGACCCGACAGUUGAAGACCCACUUAAAAAAAGGCUGCUUAACAUACUCAUGACUAUUUUUAAAUUCAAAUUUGCAUGUGUAAUUUUACUCGAAUUGUCGGGCCUAUAUCUCCCAUUAGCACACAUUAGGUCAAACUCCACACAGCAGUUACUUCCCUUGGGCAUUCGCCAAUCAUUAAUGUCUUUUUCUAGAAUAAGGGAGGCCACUGCGUAUGAGAUUGACCAACCUCGGCGCAGUGAUUUACCGGGAACCAGCAUAGCAACGAACGACAACUCGGCGCCCGACAACUCUGUAAUAUAAAUUGCCAAUUUUCGCGGUUAAACUUAAAAAGAGUCCAUGUCAACUGCUGACAGUGAAGAGCCAGGCAGUCUGACCCAUGAUAGGAGGGAGCCAAGUGAAGAGCCAGCCAGUCUGACCCAUGAUAGGAGGGAGCCAAGUGAAGAGCCAGCCAGUCUGACCCAUGAUUCUUGACAUGACUCAUGGUGAACUAAAAUUGCUUGCAAAGCAUCUGGGACAUGAUGUGAAGACCCACAAGGAAUAUUAUCAGUUGUCUUCCAGUACCAUGGAACUCUCAAAGGU